rnacentral:rRNA from 1 species
AAUUGCCUACGGGGGGCAGCAGUGAGGAAUAUUGGUCAAUGGUCGGGAGACUGAACCAGCCAAGCCGCGUGAGGGAUGAAGGUACAGAGUAUCGUAAACCUCUUUUGUCAGGGAACAAAGGCAGGGACGCGUCCCCGGAUGAGUGUACCUGAAGAAAAAGCAUCGGCUAACUCCGUGCCAGCAGGCGCGGUAAUACGGAGGAUGCGAGCGUUAUCCGGAUUUAUUGGGUUUAAAGGGUGCGUAGGCGGUCCGGAAAGU